GACGAACGCUGGCGGCGGGCUUAACACAUGCAAGUCGAACGGAAAGGCCCUGCUUUUGUGGGGUGCUCGAGUGGCGAACGGGUGAGUAACACGUGAGUAACCUGCCCUUGACUUUGGGAUAACUUCAGGAAACGGGGGCUAAUACCGUAUAGGAGCUCCUGCUGCAUGGUGGGGGUUGGAAAUUUUCGGCGGUUGGGGAUGGACGCGCGGCUUAUCAGCUUGUUGGUUGGGUAGUGGCUUACCAAGGCUUUGACGGGUAGCCGGCCUGAGAGGGUGACCGGCCACAUUGGGACUGAGAUACGGCCCAGACUCCUACGGUAGGCAGCAGUGGGGAAUAUUGCACAAUGGGCGGAAGCCUGAUGCAGCAACGCCGCGUGCGGGAUGACGGCCUUCGGGUUGUAAACCGCUUUCGCCUGUGACGACGCGUGAGUGACGGUAAUGGGUAAAGAAGCACCGGCUAACUACGUG
rnacentral:rRNA from 1 species